GUGCCUGGGCAGCAGAGUGAGUAAGGUGCCUUCUUACCCCCCCCCCCCCAAGGUGGGAGGUGAACUCUGCAGAUGCAUCUCUGAACUCUAGACUACUGCAGGAGCUCAACUGUGCAGUCACUUAGCAACAGACAUUGCAGUUACAAAACUACUAAAACUUAUCCACAGCUAUACCACAUGAAGCUAUGAGGCAAUCCUGUCAGAUGUCUUAAGGAAGUCCAACAGACUGAAAGUUUCCUGUUGAAGAGAGGUGUGUGACUGAAUUUCAGGCCAUUCAUUUGAAGCGACUCUAAAACAAAUAUUUUUCUGAACUUUGAAUACCAGAAUCAGAAAAAAAAAAUGUUUAUAAACAUACACUGACGUUAUUGAUGACAUACUUGGCUCAAAUAACAAAAGCUUAUCAGCAUAGAGGGGCUCGAAAGUAGUAUUUGUAAAUGCCUAAUAUGUGUGUAAGUGAGCAAUUUCCUGUAAAUCAAUGUACCCUACUUUAGAUUUCAGCUUAAUGGCGAACCUGACCUUGAAAACAAGUGACACAAUUACUUUUGAUCUCUUUAUGAAAAAUACCACAUACCUUUUGCUAUUUUCUCUUCUCCUUCUAGCAGAAAAUUUGUAGUCCUAAUAAGCCUCAAUUAAAUUAAAUGAGCAAUAUAAAUCUGGAAUACCUAAAUGUAUAACCAGGGAACAAAAACUGAGUCCUUGAACGUUCUUUAUUAAAGGAUGUCCCUUAAUAAACAGAUAACUACAAAUGCUAUAGCUGAUGACCCAAGAGUGAAAGGGGGCCUUGUUUUUUACUGUUUCAAGAGUGGCCUAUUCUGGUCAUUAAGAAGAGGGAAAGUAAACAUAGGAAGCAUAUUGAUUUAGGGAACAAACAUCUAUCAACCAACCAACCAAAGAGAAAAAGCACAUUCAUAUUCAGCCGUAAUAUCACAGAUGACAGGCUGGUGGUGUUUGCAUUUUCUACAUGUCUAGUAUUAGGAGCGUUUUAAUGGGCAAGAUCCUCAACUGAUGUAAAUAAACAUCACUGUAUUCGAAGUCACUGGAUUCAUACCAAACUACAUCAUACUGAGGAUAUGGCCAUAUCUUCUUCAUAUUUGUCAUUUAAAAUGUAUCAUGAUAAACAGAAACCUAUAUUUACUGUACCCAUUUUAAGUGGGUUUAACCCUAUUGCUGAAUUAGGUUCCAAGCUCCAUCUUGCAUUUAAUUUCCAAAUCAACAUUUAAUUCUAAUGCACCUACACUGUCUAGCCGAAAAUUGUACGUAGAGCGCGUAGAUUCAUUUUAUUGUAUCUUACCAAUACAGUUCAUGCUGUGCCAUUUCCUAUAAAGUUAAGGGAAUGAAAAUCUGUAUUGCCACAAAGAGGCAGCCUUCAAAGAUGUGGUUCAACAAAUGGUUUCUCUUUUAUAAAGAACUGUAAGCAAACAAAAACUGUUGUAUCUCUCCCUCAAAGACAUCAGAUUACCAGGAUGUCUUUCAAAGAGCUGUCCCAUUGGCUCAGCUGGCAACUAUAUUUGCCAGGUGACGUAGGUUAAUAUGUAACCCUCUGCUCAUUGAACUAGUACUGUUUGCAAACCUUUGCUCCGAUAGAAGAGAUCUUGGUUCUGGUUUCACAUGUGAUAUGAAUUUGUAAAUGAAGGGAAGAGAAAGAGUCUUCAUUUUAGUAUUGUACAUGGGUAAUGGAAAAGAUUGUCACCACUGUAUAGGAGACCUAAGUUAAUAGGCAUCUUCAGGAAUCCACCUCCAUUAUUAGUGAAGAAGUGUUACAGAGAAGAGAAACCUCUUACUCUGUGCACAAGAGGAUAUAUAAAGAGACAAGAUUUUGUCAUUGUCCUUCCAAAUACAGCGUAAUUACAGAGAGCGAGCGAGAGAGUGAGCGGGCACCUCAUGUAUCUAAAGCACUGGUGGAGUUAAGGGGAGGUAAAAGUUAAAAUUAGUAUGUUAGAGCAGGCAACUGGGAGCCAGGACUGCAGAGUUCUAUUCCUAGCUGUGAUUUUGAGCAAGUCCUAUAACCUGUCUAUGUCUCAGUUUAUUCAUUAGUAAAAUGAAUAUUAGUACGUACUUACCCUACAAGGUUUUGUCUUGUGAGAGCCUCCUAGUCUGUUAAUAUUUCUCUGAGGAGAGAGGAUAUCAAAGCAUUUUACAAACAGAAACUAACUAAGGUAAAGUAGAUACAGUAUUCUAGGUGUGAUCUGACCAGUCUCUCUUUCAUUAAUACUGGGCUUCAAGAGACCAAUAUCAAACCGGGUACAAUUUAAACUGGCACAACUAUUGACUUCAGUGAACUUGCAAUAAUUUACACCAAGUCUGAAUGGGUCAUGUUAUAGUCCUGAUCUUGAAAACAUUGGCACACAUAAGUAACUAGGACCGUAAGCAUAUAGGAACUCAGUAGGACUACUCUUCUUGAUAAAUAUUUGCAGGAUUGGGGGCCUAUAUUUUGCUGUUUGAAUAUUAAUAAUACUGCAAGUGACUAUUACAGCAUUUAACUGAAAUAUCCACUGUUUCUAAUUUUACUAUCUUUG